rnacentral:rRNA from 1 species
UACAGAGGUCUCAAGCGUUGUUCGGAUUCAUUGGGAGUAAAGGGUGCGUAGGUGGCGCGGUAAGUCGGGUGUGAAAUCUCGGAGCUUAACUCCGAAAUUGCAUUCGAUACUGCCGUGCUCGAGGACUGGAGAGGAGACUGGAAUUCAUGGUGUAGCAGUGAAAUGCGUAGAGAUCAUGAGGAAGACCAGUGGCGAAGGCGGGUCUCUGGACAGUUCCUGACACUGAGGAGCGAAAGCCAGGGGAGCAAACGGG